ACCUACUACUGGUCUGCAGCUGUUCUUAUGGUGGCAGUGGUGUCAUUCCUCUGUGGGAAAGAAACUGUUGCAUGGUUAAACACCCCUUUCUUAGCAAAACAGAAAGUGGGCAUAUAUGUGACAAACACAA